AAUGGAGGCAACUCUGAUCCAGCCAUGCCGCGUGCAGGAAGACUGCCUAUGGGUUGUAAACUGCUUUUAUACAGGAAGAACCUACUUACGUGUAAGUAGCUGACGGUACUGUACGAAUAAGGAUCGGCUAACUCCGUGCCAGCAGCCGCGGUAAUACGGAGGAUCCAAGCGUUAUCCGGAAUUAUUGGGUUUAAAGGGUCCGUAGGUGGUUUGCUAAGUCAGAGGUGAAAUCCUACCGCUUAACGGUAGCACUGCCUUUGAUACUGGCAAACUUGAGUUAUUGUGAAGUAGUUAGAAUGUGUAGUGUAGCGGUGAAAUGCAUAGAUAUUACACAGAAUACCGAUUGCGAAGGCAGAUUACUAACAAUAUACUGACACUGAGGGACGAAAGCGUGGGUAGCGAACAGGAUU
rnacentral:rRNA from 1 species